rnacentral:rRNA from 1 species
CGAACGCUGGCGGCGUGCUUACCACAUGCAAGUCGAACGGUGAAGGGGUCUGCUUUUGUGGGCCCUGGAUGAGUGGCGAACGGGUGAGUAACACGUGAGUAACCUGUCCCCUUCUUCUGGAUAACCGCAUGAAAGUGUGGCUAAUACGGGAUAUUCUGGGUCUGUCGCAUGAUGGGUCUGGGAAAGAUUGCGCCUUUGGGUGUUUUUGGUGGGGGAUGGGCUCGCGGCCUAUCAGCUUGUUGGUGGGGUGAUGGCCUACCAAGGCGGUGACGGGUAGCCGGCCUGAGAGGGUGGACGGUCACACUGGGACUGAGACACGGCCCAGACUCCUACGGGAGGCAGCAGUGGGGAAUAUUGCACAAUGGGCGCAAGCCUGAUGCAGCGACGCCGCGUGAGGGAUGGAGGCCUUCGGGUUGUAAACCUCUUUCGCCAGUGAAGCAGGCCUGCUCCUUGUGGGUGGGUUGACGGUAGCUGGAUAAGAAGCGCCGGCUAACUACGUG